CAGGUUGAGUACAAAAAUGCGCGAGAAGCGAGAACGAGAGCGCGGGCGGAUGCAUGCAGCCGUGUGCUCUUUUGUUGCCUCCCUCUCGUCAUUUUAUGUAUCGGGUCCUCUAGAGGGAGAGUGUGUGUGUUUUAGGUGGUCUGAUCGCUCGUUCGUUCGUUCGUUGGGCCCUCUACGCGCUGCCGCUGCAGGCGCCACCAGGGGCGCGCGCCGAGGCAGGACGGGUUAUCCGGUCAAAAAGGGUCACCGCUAAUCAACCAGGCAGCUGCUGACCGGCAUGCACCUGGUGACGACGGGGGCCUGGUCUGCAGCAGCCGCGGUCGCCGGUCGCACGUGCGUCGCGGGGGAAGAGAGGGCCUCCGAACGUCGAUCGAUCUAGUCGGGUUCAACGUCGUCGCUCGCUGGCCCUCGAGCUGCGGCGUUGGUGGCGCAAAAAGUAAAGGCCCGCGGCACACGUACGGGACGGGUUGGUUUGCUUGCGGGUCGCGGAGGCAGUGUGAAAACCGGGAGAGGAACGGGUUUCUUUACUGGCAUGCAAGCUGAGCUGGGACGAGCAACGCACGGUCGAGGCACACCGACACACAUGAACAUCACCUCGAUAUCGUUAGAUCGCACCGAUACGAGGACUGCGCCCAUCACCAUCCAUCCAUGACCAUACCAUACCCGCCCGCCAUGCUAGUUCACGUCACAUUCGAGGAGGAGGAGGAGCAGCAGCUAGAGGACGACCGACGACGUUUGUAGGGUAGGGUUAGGUAGGUGGUUAGAGUAAGGGUAGCGAGCAGAGGAGUAGUGGAGGGGUCUUUCUAUACCGGGAGUCGAGGAGAAACGCGUUUCCACGCAGAGGUAGGGAAAGAAAUAAAGGAAGGGGAGGGAGGGAGAGCCACGAGCGGACGGGAACAGAACGAAAUGACGAGGCGAAAAGCAAAAGACUCGAUCGAAAGAAAGAAAGGGCACGGCAGCGGGGCAGGCAGGUAUCUAACUAAUUGCCUCGCGGACCGGCGCGCGCGCCCUCGCCUCCAGGUCAUAUUUCUAGCUACCGCGUGCUAGGGUCGGAUCAUCCCAUGCGGCUGAUGAAGCGCCUCUGCCCCUCGUUGCCCCCGCCGCAGUGCGAGCACGGCCUCCACCUGUGGGCGCGCCUCGUAGUCUACAUACCGCCGCCUAACGUGGUAGUAGUGGUGAGGCCCCACUUGUACAAGCCCCGGUCCCCGAAGCCGUACCGCGGCGGGCCGCUCCGCUGCAGGCGCGUCUCGUUCCGGCGCGAGCUGAAGCUGCAGCUGCCGAGCAGAUGGUAGUCGAAGAAGGCGCCGCUCGUCGUGGUGGUGGUCGUGGUCGUCGACGUCUACCCGGUCCGGGGCAACAGCGACAGCGAGGUGCCCGGCGGCCUGCGGCCCAGCAGCAGCAAGUACGACGUGGUGGUCGAGCCGCCGCCGCUCGGGGCCGACGUCGUCGUGGUCGUCUGCCGCGGCCCCCGUACCGUCCACGUUCCGCGGCCGUCGCCGACCGUCGACGCGCCCAGGGCCAAGGACGACGGCUGCGUCGUCGAGGACGUCCCCAAGACGUCGUAGGGGCGGCUGUGGCUGUUGUUCCGCGGGUUCUUCGGCCGCGUUCUUCUCGUGCCGAGCAGCAGGAGGCGGAGGACCGGCGGCAGCAGCUGCGUCUAGGUCUCGUACCUGCGGCGGCUCGACGUCUCCGAGUUCCGGUUCGAGAUGUGGUACUAGCUUCUCCACCUGUCCUCCAUGUCCUCCAUGGCGCUAGUCUACGCCCGCCACCGCCGCAGGAAGCUCCGCCACCGCCCCGUCGCCCGGCGCCGCCACAUGUGCUCCUACCGCAGCGCCUGGUAGAGGUCCGUGAAGGCCUCGCACUCCCUGCCCCACCGGCGCGUCCAGGCCCGCCACGCGCCCCGCGACCCCCUCUUCCUGCGCCCGCGGCGGCACGGCCCCUACUGGUUCCCCCUCUGCGGGUCCGACGCCCGCGACCUGGUCACGGAGUCCGUCGUGUUCCGCAUGGUCAGGCCGUACGAGCUCUCGGUGGGCACCGCCGGCGUCGCGCCGGACGGCCUCGCGCGGCAGAGGCAGGAGGCCCGGACCGAGAAGCUCGUGAAGGACGUGGGCAUGGGCUCGCUGCACCUAUUCGUGUAGGACCGCGCCGUCUGCCCGGAUAGCGCCUCGGUCCAGAGCUUGACCAAGUAGUUGCGCUCCCACGCCGACACCUUCGGCUACCACCUCCUCUACAUGCGCCUCCUCUACUUCCUGUUCCUCCUCCCGUCGCCGCCGCUGCCACCACCGGUCAGCCGCGUCGUCCGGCCGCUGGACCGCUUGGUAUUGGGUCGCCUGCCCUCGAUGCGGAGGCUCCCCGCGCCGCUCGUCUUCGGCUGGGCCCGCGUCGACGUGGUCGACGUGCUGCGGCCGAGCGACCGGAGGCAGCACUCGUAGCCGGUCUCGUGGCUGGGCGUCCCGGAGUUGAAGCCGUACUACCUGGUCGAGCUGAAGCUGCGGAUGCUCCGCCGGUGCCGGCCCAAGCCGUUGCCGCACAGCGACUGCGACCCCGAAGUCGUGGUCGUCGUCGUCGUCGUCGUGGUGCCACCGCACUUGCAACGGCGCAAGCGGCGGCGUAGGGGCAGCAGCAGCAGGCGCCGCGUACCGCCGCGGCGGCUCAAGGACAAGUACCGACCACUCCCGCACGUGGGCAGACGAUUGCCUGUCAAGCCCCGCCCGUACCCUAGUCCGCGGCUGCAGCGCAGCGUCAUGGUGGCCCCCGACCCGCCCAAGGUGGAGGAGGCGCUGGAGCGGCCCACUAACUAGGCAUGCAGCCAGUCAGACCUGCCGUAGUGCGCUGUCAUGGUGUUACUAGUGCAUGCACACAUGCAGGUCCCUAGUAGUACAGUACGCGGCCUCCAGCUAGCCCCUGCCUGCGCUGCUGCAGACUAUCCCACUACCCCCUAGCUUGACUCCUAAACCCCCUACACAUUUGCCGCUGGCCCGACCCCGACCGUACGUACCAACCAUCGAGCGCAUGCAUGCAGAACGAAUCGGCCACAUGCGUCCGCCGAAACCUAAAAACAUCGCGCAUCUAUGGAGAUAAAUUAAGAACCGCCCUACAGCGGCAGAUACAUACGACACAAGGUGAGGUGCCGCCGGCGCGCGCGCAGCGACAAUAGCGCCUCCGCGCCUGCAGCUAGCGGCCCGCCGGAGGCGGCACGCUAGCUCGCCGGGUUGCCGGUCUCCACGAGAAUGACCGCUGUCCAGGCCUUGAGUCGUCCUACCCCAUGUACCAUGCAUAGUCUGAUGCAUGCAUGGUUACCGUUACGUGGCGAUCAAUCGAUGCAGACGGAUGGCAACAAGGAUUGCAUUCGCAAGCUUAUAAAGCAAACAACGCUACAGUAAAAGCAUAGAACCAGAACCGCAACCCAAAGGUAGCCCUCUACUUUCGUUCACGAUGAACGUUGCCGCUCGCCCGAGAAGUGUGUACUCCGUUCUCCCUAAGGGAAAGUAUUCCCCUUCUCUUGAUACGGUUGUCUAAACUAUAACAGAGGAGCACUUUUUUGUUUG
rnacentral:rRNA from 1 species